AACGCGAAGAACCUUACCAGGUCUUGACAUCCUCUGACAAUCCUAGAGAUAGGACUUUCCCCUUCGGGGGACAGAGUGACAGGUGGUGCAUGGUUGUCGUCAGCUCGUGUCGUGAGAUGUUGGGUUAAGUCCCGCAACGAGCGCAACCCUUGUCCUUAGUUGCCAGCAUUCAGUUGGGCACUCUAAGGAGACUGCCGGUGACAAACCGGAGGAAGGUGGGGAUGACGUCAAAUCAUCAUGCCCCUUAUGACCUGGGCUACACACGUGCUACAAUGGAUGGUACAAAGGGUUGCGAGACCGCGAGGUUUAGCCAAUCCCAUAAAACCAUUCUCAGUUCGGAUUGUAGGCUGCAACUCGCCUACAUGAAGCCGGAAUCGCUAGUAAUCGUGGAUCAGCAUGCCACGGUGAAUACGUUCCCGGGCCUUGUA
rnacentral:rRNA from 1 species